UCUUCUUUCCCUUAAUGAUCACGAACCCCAACUUUAUAAUUCUAUUACUCGAAUCAUUUUAAAAGGUUUAGGUUUAUAAUAAGGACGAGCAUGUUUUGUUUUGUUUUUCAAAGGUGUUUUUAAAGUACCAAACUAAGGCUUAGUAUUUUAUGUCUUUAAAUGCGCAUUCAAAAAACCUAGAAAAUAAGUAUUUAUACACCGUAAAUGAAGUAUCAAU